AUUAGGACUUUAUUUUGGAAACUUCCCAUUUUCUGAAGAGUUUUCUAUUUGAGUAGGCCAUAUGCCCAGUGCUUGUUCAACAAAAGCUGUCCAUGUUCCAGGCCAAGAGGCAGAGGACACGAUGGAUGGCAGUGGUGCCUUUAUGGCUGUUCAUCAUUUAGGAGAGCAAUAGUUAAGCAAAGAUGGCUUUAAAACAAAACAAAGAACUAACUUUGGUGACUUAUGCAGUGAAAAACUUUUCCCACUUCUUUAUCCCAGAACUUCAAGGUCUGAAAUGUUUUCAGAAAUGAAUGGGUAAAACAACCAGCUUGGACUCUGGGUUUUCAUAGUGAUAGAGUGGAAGCUUUCACAACCAUCCCAGUUUUGGACUGCAUCUGAUGCAGUCUCAUGGAGACAGGGGACUGUUAUUAGAGCUGCGUGAAUAAUCUACAGCAAGUUACUGAAUGGAAGUGUUUGGCCUUUUAUCUGUUUGCAAACUGUCUGUGAGCCUGCCUGGAUGUUCUUGAAUGUGUUUGUUGUUUGAAAUAAUGCUGCUUGUAGUUUCUGUGUAUAAUCAUUUAUUUAUAGCUUGCCUAUGAGCAUUUAGAUAGUCAAAAUGUCAUUUCUCUUCCAUGGCUACAUGACUGCAACCCUGAGAUUUUCAUCAAAAGUACCCACAGCCAGGAGUGGUAAAUUCACUUUCUGUGAAAACCUGUUGAAAUCUUAUUGGGAAAUGUAUGUUCGUCUGCAAUAUUUGCGGGGGAAAAAAAGGGAGGAAAAUGCAGUUAAAUAACAGGGGAUUUUGGUAAAACAUUGAAAGGUAUUUCCUAGAAUUCUUUCUAUGGCUAAUUGGAUGAUUUAUGUUUUUACGUUUUGCAGUCUGGAAACACUAAAUCAGAAGCAAGUUUGCUUAGAAGAUUUCUACUGAAACCAUACACAGUCCCCAUGCCCUAUGACUCUAAAGGUGUCUCUGCAUGCUGUAGUCCAGAUCUGAACUACUUCCAGACUCCAGAAGUUGUGUACUGAAACACUCAGCUCUCUGCCAAAGGACUGUUCAAAGGUUGAAAGAAAAGCUCCCUGCUUGGUUUCUGAGCAGGGCUGUCCCUGACGUAAAAGGCCACCCAGCUGUCAGGGUGAUGGUGUCCCCAGCACAGCCUGCUGCCUCGUUUGUUCCCUGAGCCACAGGUUUGGGCACCAGCGCCACAGGCAUGUCACUCAGCUGAGCUGGGCACAAAUGCCCACAGCUCACUGCUGCUCCUUGCCAAGCUCUCAGGAGAAUGGAGCGUACCCUUUCCAGGAGGAACCCAGUGUACCAGGGAUGUUUGCCAUGUGCUCACGGGGCAGAGUCAAGGACAAAGCAAACAUUUCACCCACGUACUUCACAAGCCACCAGAGCUUGCAGGGAUGCACCUGAAUCAGCCAGGCAGCCAAGCAGCAAUGAGGUUUUAUAACUAUUUUGCCCUCCAAAAAUUGGUACAUACUCAGUGCCUAGAGCACUCCCAUGCUGCCCUGUUGUGCCCACUUGUCCAGUAGCAUUGAAGCCAGGUCUUUGACAGCCAACAAGCUCUGCUAGCAGCUCUGAAAGUUUCUUUGGCAGCAGUGUCAGACUGCUUUCCAUCUGCACAGGCAGGAUUAAGGGAGCUUUGCAGGGCAAGGGGUGGCCCAGAAAAAACUCUCAUAUUUGUUUUCAUUCAUAGUAUUUCAGUUACCCUGCAUGGUUGGAUGGUUUUGUGAUAAGGACAUCUUGAGGGAUAAAUUGCAUAGGCGUAUUAAGGAAAAAAUAGUCAAUACUAUGCACAGGCUAAGUGCCUCUACCAAAAAUUGACAUGUAUUUUCAGGGUAGAAACAAUGUUUUGCAAGGAAAACAGGGCAUGAAUCCAUUUUGGUUGUCUGUAAAAAUGUCUUCUUCUGAAAGAAAUAUAGAAGAGAAAAUUUUUUACUGAAAACAUUUCCCUGUUCCUGAACCCUCUGUUUCCAAACAGUGUUGUUCUGAACUAUUGUAUGUGGGUAGAAGUUUUCAAAAUAUUAGAUCUCCUUUGGCUAACUGAAAA